ACGGGAGGCAGCAGUGGGGAAUAUUGCACAAUGGGCGCAAGCCUGAUGUAGCGAUGCCGCGUGAGGGAAGAAGGUUUUCGGAUUGUAAACCUCUGUCAUCGGGGACGAUAAUGACUGUACCCGAGAAGGAAGCUCCGGCUAACUACGUGCCAGCAGCCGCGGUAAUACGUAGGGAGCGAGCGUUAUCCGGAAUUACUGGGUGUAAAGGGAGUGUAGGCGGGACUGUAAGUCAGAUGUGAAAUAUGCCGGCUCAACUGGCAGACUGCAUUUGAAACUGCGGUUCUUGAGUGAAGUAGAGGUAAGCGGAAUUCCUAGUGUAGCGGUGAAAUGCGUAGAUAUUAGGAGGAACAUCAGUGGCGAAGGCGGCUUACUGGGCUUUAACUGAAGCUGAGGCUAGAAAGCGUGGGGGGCAAACAGGAUUAGAUACCCUGUA
rnacentral:rRNA from 1 species